GUGUCAGCAGCCGCGGUAAUACGUAGGGUGCAGGCGUUAAUCGGAAUUACUGGGCGUAAAGCGUGCGCAGGCGGUUUCUUAAGUCAGAUGUGAAAGCCCCGGGCUUAACCUGGGAACUGCGUUUGAAACUGGGAGACUUGAGUGUGGCAGAGGGGGGUGGAAUUCCACGUGUAGCAGUGAAAUGCGUAGAUAUGUGGAGGAACACCGAUGGCGAAGGCAGCCCCCUGGGUUAACACUGACGCUCAUGCACGAAAGCGUGGGGAGCAAACAGGAUUAGAUACCCCCGUAGUCC
rnacentral:rRNA from 1 species